AGUUCGAUUCUGGCUCCAGAUUGAACGCUGGCGGGAUGCUUUACACAUGCAAGUCGAACGGCAGCACGGACUUCGGUCUGGUGGCGAGUGGCGAACGGGUGAGUAAUGUAUCGGAACGUGCCUAGUAGCGAGGAUAACUACGCGAAAGCGUAGCUAAUACCGCAUACGCCCUUCGGGGGAAAGCGGGGGACCUUCGGGCCUCGCACUAUUAGAAGCAGCCGAUAUCGGAUUAGCUAGUUGGUGGGGUAACGGCUCACCAAGGCGACGAUCCGUAGCUGGUUUGAGAGGACGACCAACCACACUGGGACUGAGACACAGCCUUUGGGCA
rnacentral:misc_RNA from 1 species